GCUGGCGGCAGGCUUAACACAUGCAAGUCGAACGAUGACUCUCUAGCUUGCUAGAGAUGAUUAGUGGCGGACGGGUGAGUAACAUUUAGGAAUCUGCCUAGUAGUGGGGGAUAGCUCGGGGAAACUCGAAUUAAUACCGCAUACGACCUACGGGUGAAAGGGGGCGCAAGCUCUUGCUAUUAGAUGAGCCUAAAUCAGAUUAGCUAGUUGGUGGGGUAAAGGCCCACCAAGGCGACGAUCUGUAACUGGUCUGAGAGGAUGAUCAGUCACACCGGAACUGAGACACGGUCCGGACUCCUACGGGAGGCAGCAGUGGGGAAUAUUGGACAAUGGGGGCAACCCUGAUCCAGCCAUGCCGCGUGUGUGAAGAAGGCCUUUUGGUUGUAAAGCACUUUAAGCAGGGAGGAGAGGCUAAUGGUUAAUACCCAUUAGAUUAGACGUUACCUGCAGAAUAAGCACCGGCUAACUCUGUGCCAGCAGCCGCGGUAAUACAGAGGGUGCGAGCGUUAAUCGGAAUUACUGGGCGUAAAGCGAGUGUAGGUGGCUCAUUAAGUCACAUGUGA
rnacentral:rRNA from 1 species